rnacentral:rRNA from 1 species
GAUGAACGCUGGCGGCGUGCCUAACACAUGCAAGUCGAGCGAUUCUCUUCGGAGAAGAGCGGCGGACGGGUGAGUAACGCGUGGGUAACCUGCCUUGUACACACGGAUAACAUACCGAAAGGUAUGCUAAUACGAGAUAAUAUACUUUUAUCGCAUGGUAGAAGUAUCAAAGCUUUUGCGGUACAGGAUGGACCCGCGUCUGAUUAGCUAGUUGGUAAGGUAACGGCUUACCAAGGCGACGAUCAGUAGCCGACCUGAGAGGGUGAUCGGCCACAUUGGAACUGAGACACGGUCCAAACUCCUACGGGAGGCAGCAGUGGGGAAUAUUGCACAAUGGGCGAAAGCCUGAUGCAGCAACGCCGCGUGAGCGAUGAAGGCCUUCGGGUCGUAAAGCUCUGUCCUCAAGGAAGAUAACGACGGUACUUGAGGAGGAAGCCCCGGCUAACUACGUGCCAGCAGCCGCGGUAACAC